rnacentral:rRNA from 1 species
UAGUCAUAUGCUUGUCUCAAAAACUAACCCAUGCAUGUCUAAGUAUAAAUGUUAUACAGUGAAACUGCGAAGGGCUCAUUAAAACAGUUAUAGUUUAUUUGAUAAUCGAAUUUACAUGGAUAACCGGGGUAAUUCUAGAGCUAAUACAUGCUGGUUAGCCUGACUUUUGAGGAAGGGCUGUAUUUAUUAAAUAACAAACCAAUAUUCCCCGUGUCUAUUGUGAUGACUCAUAAUAACUGAUCGAAUCGCAGGGACUUUGUCCGCAAUAAAUCAUUCAAGUUUCUGCCCCAUCAGCUUUCGAUGGUAGUGUAUUGGACUACCAUGGCUUUAACGGGUAACGGAGGAUUAGGGUUCGAUUCCGGAAAGGGAGCCUGAAAAACGGCUACCACAUCUAAGGAAGGCAGCAGGCGCGUAAAUUACCCAAUCCUGACUCAGGGAGGUAGUGACAAGAAAUAACGGACCGAACCCUAUGUUUCGGGAUUGCAAUGAGUAAAAUUUAAACCCCUUUACAAGGAUCAAUU